rnacentral:rRNA from 1 species
UGCGUAGGCGGAUUAUUAAGUCAGUGGUGAAAUCCUGUGGCUCAACCACAGAACUGCCAUUGAUACUGUUAUUCUUGAAUAUAGUUGAGGUAGGCGGAAUGUGUAAUGUAGCGGUGAAAUGCUUAGAUAUUACACAGAACACCGAUUGCGAAGGCAGCUUGCUAAACUAUUAUUGACGCUGAGGCACGAAAGCGUGGGGAGCGAACAGGAUUAGAUACCCUGGUAGUCC